rnacentral:lncRNA from 1 species
AAUUUAGUGUUAUGUUAAGAAAUCGUAAAGCAAUUCAUGUAGGAAUCAUCAUUUCUGAGUUCAGUCAACAAAACUUUAUGCGUUUAAGCAAUUUAUGAAGUUAAAUUGUAUUUUGAACUCCGAAAUUGCCAAGCAUCUUUGAAAAUCCAAUGGGACCAACAAAUAAAAAAAAAUUCUUUAAAAAUUUAAAAUAAAUCAAUUUAAUCAAUAAACAAUAAUAAUCAUAAUAGUAUUAAUAAUUGUAAUAAUAGUAAUA